ACCUCACCUCUCAACUGCUUUCACUAGCUCAGCACUGUAGCAAUGCCCUCAUGUACCCUUGUCUCGUUCAACUCGGGGUACGGAGAGGACAGGUUUGCACCUACCCAGAGUGUACAAUAAAGCUACAGGCAGAUUUAACAUAUCUUAAUCCAACAUAAGCUCGGAUCAGUUUAGAUAAUCUUUGUCACUCCUGAGUCAUGACUGGACACAGACGUCACUCAGUGGCCCCGGGAAUCAAUGGGAGAUUUUACUGUGAGAACAAUAAACAGUGUAAGCACUAAGCAAA